GGUUUCUGUAGCUCCACCCGUCCCUCCGUCACAGAGACGUCUUCUGACGGUGUGAACGCUCCGUCCUGAUGUGAUUUUGACAGUGUGACUCUGGGGUCGUGGCAGAUAUUCAGCAGGAAACCGGAAGUAUUCGUCGAACAGUUCAGGGACCGAAUGCCGAACAAAGAAGGCCGUCUCAUUCAGCGGUGGGAGACGGUCCUUCACUGAGCUGCGACUCUGUGUUAAAGAAUCAUCUGUUAUUAUGUGGUCGAAGUAAGAGCUUUGCUCAUAAAGACAGACCUAUAGGUAGGUUAUCUAUACAGUGUUGUUACUUAGGCCUAAGUCUGAGGGGGCUCAGUAUGUUGUCUGUAAAGUUGUUGGUUUGUAACUGUCAGACUGUUUGGAGGUUAACUCCUCCAGCUCUUUAAAUAAAUAUAUUUUGUUUACAAA